UACGUAGGGUGCGAGCGUUGUCCGGAAUUAUUGGGCGUAAAGGGCUCGUAGGCGGUUUGUCGCGUCGGGAGUGAAAACCUCGGGCUUAACUCGGGGCUUGCUUUCGAUACGGGCAGACUAGAGGUAUGCAGGGGAGAACGGAAUUCCUGGUGUAGCGGUGAAAUGCGCAGAUAUCAGGAGGAACACCGGUGGCGAAGGCGGCCAUCUGGACCGCAACUGACGCUGAGGCGCGAAAGCGUGGGGAGCAAACAGG
rnacentral:rRNA from 1 species